CCUCACUGACACCCACAUUCAGGGAGUCUGGAUCAGUCCUGUGCUAGUUUCUCAGCUAUCAGUCUGGGGUCGAUAAGUUCCCCCUUGUUCAGGUCAGCUGUUUCUAUGGGUUUUGCCAGCUUGGUCUUGAUCCCUUUGCUCAUUACUCCUCCCUCUCUGCAGCUGGAUUCCAGGAGUUCAGUUCUGUGUUUAGCUGUGGGUGUCUGCUUCUGUUUCCAUCAGCUAAUGGAUGAAGGCUCUAGGAUGGCAUAUAAGGUUUCCUCUUGGUACUCAGUGGGGGGACCGUAUCACCAAAAAGACCUUCACCAUUGAAAGUCCCAAUGAUGAAGAAAUAUCAGAAGUUUUACAUAAAAUUGGCCUGUAACACAUGGAAAAGUGACUGUAGUAUGGAUGGAUUUGGGAUCACAUCUUUACUUCCACCUUCUAUGGCAGUAGUCGUUUGUUGAAACAGAGGGCCCAGGUUAGCUCAUUUACUGUUGGUGAGUAGGAGACUAUAAACUUGAAUUUUAUAGGUAUGUGUGAGGCUCAGCCUUAGUCAAUAUUUAUACAUAAUUGUAGUUCUCAUCAAGCCACAAGGCCUUAGUUGUGACAUGGUUAUCUGUCAUAGCCCAUCUAUAAAAGGGAUUUUAAUUGUCACCAUCAGCAACAACAAACAUUUAUGGAGGUGCUACUGUGUGUUGUAAUUGAAUUAAUGAAAUUGUUAAUUGUUGUUUCCUCUUCCCAUAAAUACUUUCUGAACUCAAGUAUCAGUUGAAUCACAGAGGCACCAUGCUUAAGAUACCUGGCCAUUUAGACAGAUCAAAUGUGUGUUCUUGAAUAUUCAAAGGGUUUUUUAAUUCCUGUUCAUAUGUGUAGCUAAGUUUUCCUCUACAACACUAUCUUGAAAAGAAAUCUAGUCCCAAUGGAAUGUUCUAGAACUAGCAGUGGGGUCCUUGUCUGUGGAGAUUUGAAGCUACCGACAGAGCCUCAGAGCAGUGCCCUGAGGUGGUCCUCGGCCAUUUGCCUGUUCUGUGCCUAGUGAACCUGAGCUAUCUUUUCAUGCCGGGUUGUUAGAGACUAUAUUAAACUACCUUUCCUGUUCCUGUGAUAAAGUAGCCCCCCAAAGUGACCUGGAGGGAAAAGGGUCCAAUCAUUAUGGUGGGUGAGCCAUACUGACAGGAGCUUGAGGUGGCCUGCCAUAUAACAUCUGUUGUCAGGGAACAGAAAGGAACAAAUGCUGUCCUUUGGAGCCUCUUCCUUUUUUUAUUCAGUCCCAGCCUACAGAACGGAGCUGCUUAACAGUUAAGGUGGGUCUUCUCACUCAAUUGAGACCCAGUCUAAGUGAUCCCACAGUAGAGGAAUGUCUGGGGUCUAACUCAAUCUAGACAGCCCCUCACAGACGUGUUCAGAGGCUUGUUCCUAGGUGACUUAAAGCUGACUGCAUUGAUCAUCGCAGGGCCCUUUGGAGCUGGAGGUGAGCAUCCUACCGUCCUCUGACAUCGUUUCUCCCCAGUGGCCUGUGCUGAAUCUGACUGGAUUAUGCCUUUGGCCAAUGACAGGAUGCUUUCCUUCCAGAUACCCAGUUAGAAUUUAGGCUUGGAGGAGGAUGGUCUAUUGUUUUGUUAGGGUGACUCACCUUCCCCAUUCCAUUUCAUUCACUCCCACUCUGGAGAAGCCAUAAAGCUUUGCCCAGACGCACUCAAGGGAUGGGCAGGGAGGCACACCCCUGGAACACCCACGGCUGUCUCUCCAUUCUGACAUUUGGCCAGCAUCCCUGGAGAUGUUAUGCCCUGGCUGGGGUUCCCAUUCCUACUCAGUUCCCAGGCCAGCAAGUCGACUUUCAUCCUUUGCUGGUUCAUGACAUGUUCUGCUUCUCUUUCAAAGCCAACCCUGUAUUUCCAUUUCUAUCAUAGCUAAAGAAAUUUCAAUGAUGCUUAUUUGUAUCUAAAGUCUGUAUUAUUUGCAUUCUACCACUGUGCUCCUAGCGUUAGGACCCAGAGUGGAGGUCCUGGAGAGAGAGAGGGAAUUUAGAACUACAGGACUUCAUAUGACUGGUACACAAUGGUGUCUACAAAGUAACUGGCCAAUUAUCUGAUCACAUUUUGAGACAGAACUCUGACAGCACAUGGAGAGUGUGGCCUCAAUGGUUGGACUGAGAUGAGACUUUUGGAGAAAUUCACAGAGGGUUAACGUAAUCACUUUCUACUCCUUAUUUAAGUCAUAGAAAAGAUUAACAUGUACUAGGCUGAAUUGAAAUGAUGGCAGCAAAAUAACAAGAAGUAAUUUUGCUUCUGACAGAUUCUCUUCUUCAUUCUUCC
ensembl:lncRNA